GUAAUUUUAAGGCGAGUAGCUCCCCCCAUCUAUUUCCUGUUCCGGUUUGCGAAGCGCUCGUAGAUUUUCAGCUGCGUAUGAGAAACCAUCACGUUGCAACAACGGUGAGAAAGAAAAAAGUUUACCAUCGGAUGGAAAAGUGCCCGAAAACUUUGUGCUUGAGCUCGGAUAAAGUCCUCCAACCCUUCAGUGCUGCCGAGUGAUCGCCGAUUUCGAAAGUGGCGAAAAGUGAGUUUAAUCAGCUUCAUAGCUGUAAAGUUGUUAGCCCGCGUGCUACUGUUAGCUUUAGCAUCACGUUGCUAACACGUAGCAGCUACGUCGCCGGGAAGCGCGGUGUUUGAGUCAGCUCUUACUUCGUCUGAAAGAGUCUGGCGAUUAGCUUGGGUGCAGCUGUGCUGAGUGUCUGAGCUCAAGUGAUUUGGAGAUUGGUCAGGUUUUUUUCCCCCUCCUUUUGUGUACCCCCCUCGACCUCAUUGGUAUAUUCCGGAGCGGAUAUUCUGAUAGUCAUGAUGGCGAGCCUCCCACCUGGAUCAGAUGGAAAGGACUACACCUCUUCUGUGAUCACUGGAUUUUGCUUUGUGUGACCUACAGUGCGGUAGGCCAGAACUAAGAACACUGUCACUCAUCUGUGAGCACCAGCCCUAGCAGCUAUUUAUUUUAUUGUGAAAGUUUUUGACUGACUUAGACUGACUUGGACUAGUUUUUUCUUUGACCUAUUUUAUUUAAUUUGCUACUCUUGGGUUGGUGUGGGACAGAAAGGAAACCCUCCUUUAAGACAUCUGAUAGUGAACUGAACUGCGAAUCCUACUCAUCAGCCUGAGUUGUUUGUGAACACUGAGAACAGGCAGUGAAAGAGAUUUUUUUGUGAACAGUUGGCCAAAGAACAAACAAAGAACAAAAACCCGAGUCAUUAAGUGUCCACAUAUAUUGUAUUGUCUUAAUUAUUUGUGUUACUGUCUUUUAUAUAUAAAACCGGUAUAUGUUCAAGCAUCAUAUUGGUACGGUGUGUUGUUUAGAUAAUUCCCUGCUGCUUCCCGAGAGUCGAACCGAGAAUUGAAAUUACUCCUUAGUCUUUGUUGUGAGCUCCAUUGUCUCACAAGUGCUACAUGUGGGUGUUGUAAGAGAAGACUCUUUACUACAUUACAAGCUUUAUGUUGACUUUAAUGGAUUAAUAUCAAUGUGUGUUGUCAUUAAAGACAUUUUUUCACUCUUCAGUCUGUGGGGUUUAGUUUGGUUUUUGUUUAAUAUCUGUUGUACUUUAGUUUUGGGUUUUAUCUACUUUAUAUAGCCUAUCCCUUUCUGUGGCAGUCAAGAGAAAGCAUCACCAUGAACCCCCCUCAGAGCCUGAAUGAGGGGCAUCCAACCAGACCCUGAAAACUGCCACAUUAGAAUACAAAAGAGCCGGAGAGUCACACCUUCUAAUUGCAAGCCUUGUUCCCCAGAUAGGCAACCUCUCCACCACUGGAACAGUCCCUGGGUCUCUACAACAAAAUAAAAACAGGAAACAAGACAACACAAACAACACAAAAACAACCAAGACCACAAACUAAAGUUUCCUUUACUGACAGAACUGCACACAGCACUUUGAGCUACUCAUUUAUUUACUUCAGUUUUUCUAGUUUUUGUACUUUGAUUUGUGUCCAAUGUGGUUGUCCCUCUGUGCAUUUUAAUUCCACCCUUGGGGAACAAAUAAAGUGUUUUGAAUUGAAUUGAAUUGAAUUGAAUUGAAUUGAAUUGAAUUGAACUGAAUUGAGACUAC